rnacentral:rRNA from 1 species
AUGGCAGGUCCGUUCGCUCACGGAUUUUCUCAAGAGAUAAUGCGUGUGUCCUCCUUGCUUAAGCACCAGCCUGAUGGGGACUUUGAGAGGUUGCCGCCGAUGGCGCGUCCAAACCAGAUGCAUCAUCAUCAGUCGCCCCCAAUGCCUAAUUUCCGUGGAAAUGGUUUUGGCCCGUGGAACCACAGGGCGCAUCCAGAGAGGGUAGGUUUUCCUCAAGGACCCGUGGGUUGGCAAGGAGCACCACAAAGCCCCUCUCCAUACAUUGUCAAGAAGAUUUUGCGGUUGGAGAUACCAACAGAUACUUACCCUAAUUUCAAUUUUAUUGGCCGUCUUCUUGGGCCAAAGGGAAACUCGUUGAAGAGGAUUGAAGCCACUACAGGUUGUCGUGUUUUUAUCAGAGGGAAGGGCUCAAUUAAAGAUCCUGGGAAGGUAAACAUAAUUCUUUAA